CUAAGGUGUUAAUUGUUUUGUAGGUGCAAUUUUGUCCAAGAAGAAGAAGGCAGAACUUUGCAUCCACAAAUUGGUGCUUUCAUUGAGAGUUGAGUCCCACACUUGUAGAAGACUCUCGCAUCCAAGGUUUUCUAUUUUCUUGUCUAUUUGUAGAUUUUCCGUACGUUCUUAUUAUUUAGAAUUUUUUAUUUGCAAAAAUUCUUUGAUAAAACGUAAAAGAGAAGUACAAUGGCUAGAAAUUUAGAAAAUUCAACAAAUGAAAAUUUUAACAUUCAAGAGAUGGGACCACAAUGAUCCAUGAGGCUAAAUGUGACAAUAGGUGGAGCGGCACCACCACCACGAGUUUUCACCAC
rnacentral:lncRNA from 1 species